UACGUAGGGGGCAAGCGUUAUCCGGAUUUACUGGGUGUAAAGGGGGCGCAGACGGCGAUGCGAGUCUGAAGCGAAAUCCCACGGCUCAACUGUGGAAUUGCUUUGGAAACUGUAUUGCUUGAGUGCUGGAGAGGUAAGCGGAAUUCCUGGUGUAGCGGUGAAAUGCGUAGAUAUCAGGAAGAACAUCAGUGGCGAAGGCGGCUUACUGGACAGCAACUGACGUUGAGGCCCGAAAGCGUGGGGAGCAAAC
rnacentral:rRNA from 1 species